UGGGGAAUAUUGCGCAAUGGGGGAAACCCUGACGCAGCGACGCCGCGUGCGGGAUGAAGGCCUUCGGGUUGUAAACCGCUUUUGAUUGGGAGCAAGCUUUCGGGUGAGUGUACCUUUCGAAUAAGCGCCGGCUAACUACGUGCCAGCAGCCGCGGUAAUACGUAGGGCGCAAGCGUUAUCCGGAAUUAUUGGGCGUAAAGGGUUCGCAGGCGGAAAUGCAAGUCAGGUGUAAAAGGCAGUAGCUUAACUACUGUAAGCAUUUGAAACUGCAUAUCUUGAGAAGAGUAGAGGUAAGUGGAAUUUUUAGUGUAGCGGUGAAAUGCGUAGAUAUUAAAAAGAAUACCGGUGGCGAAGGCGACUUACUGGGCUCAUUCUGACGCUGAGGAACGAAAGCGUGGGUAGCAAACAGG
rnacentral:rRNA from 1 species